UCCCGCGUCGUCUAACGGUAGGACAACUGACUCUGGAUCAGUUUAUCGUGGUUCGAAUCCAUGCGCGGGAGCCA
rnacentral:tRNA from 1 species